UUCACAUAUGGGUGGUCACUGAGAAGAGGACAACUGGCUACAAAUAUCAACAGGCUUUAACAGUCUUCUUUCCUUCAAGUCCAGUUCUUUGAAAGUCCAAAUUUGCUCUGAACUGACUUCAAGCAAGUGCCCACUCUUGAACAAAUUACUGAGGCUGGAGGAUAAAGACACAAAUUGGCCAAACUUGGAUUACCUGCCUUCUGCAUCUUAAAGAUAAUUUACUUCUACUGGCUAUUUGGGAUUUUCAAGCACAAAAUGUCAAUCGAAGUCAGAAGUUCAGAAAAGAGACUCAAGUACUUUGAAGUAGAAGACAUUUAAUGUUCAUCUGGGUGAAACCGCCUUUGCAAAAUUAGGACUGAGACAGUGAAAGAGAUCUAAACUAACUGACUCUAUUUUGCUUCUAACCUUUAAGCUGCCCUUGUUAUUUCCUGGGCAUAGACUGGCUAACUUUGGGAGGAACUUAGUUUAUAGUUUAAAACAAAGGCAAUAACAGCCCUUUCCCAAAACAAACCUCCUUCUUGCCCAGGGACUAGAAUGCCGUUGUAGGACUAACAAAUUAGCCACAAGAUUAGAAAUUAUGGUUUAGAAGUCAUGCAUCUGGAAGAUACAAGAUUCUGACCCUCCCUAAACUGUUCCUAAAGUUAGUGCUUGCGAUAUUUGGCGGAUAUUUUCCUGUGUUUGAUGGAUCAGCUGGCACCACCCAGAUGGAUAAACUGGCACAUCUGCUCUUGUGGCCCCCACCCAGGAACUGACUCAGUGCAAGAGCACAGCUUCAGUUCCCUAUGAUUUCAUCUCCUACCUGACCAAUCAGCACUCCCAGCUCACUGGCUUCCCCAACUGAUCAAGUUGUCCUUAAAAACUCUGAUCCCCAAAUGCUCAAGGAGACUGAUUUGAGUAAUAAUAAAACUCUAGUCUCCCACACAGCUGGCUCUG
rnacentral:lncRNA from 1 species